UUUAUCUUGGCAGAUUAAUUGUAUCAAAUUUAGAAUUUGAAGAUGAUUUGACAUCAGAUAAA
rnacentral:tRNA from 1 species